CUAAUUACCUGACAGGGAAGAGACCAUGAAGGUGGUUCUCCCAGGAUGAGGCUAGCCCACUGCACUUCAGGUGUGCUGACGCCUGCGUUGUCCCCAAAUGCGGGAUACUGGACUGUGAAAUUUGUGGUAGUGGAGGACUGCGUUUGCGCUUUCCCCUG